rnacentral:rRNA from 1 species
UACGGGAGGCAGCAGUGGGGAAUUUUGGACAAUGGGCGCAAGCCUGAUCCAGCAAUGCCGCGUGCAGGAAGAAGGCCUUCGGGUUGUAAACUGCUUUUGUCAGGGAAGAAAUCCCCUGGGCUAAUAUCCCGGGGGGAUGACGGUACCUGAAGAAUAAGCACCGGCUAACUACGUGCCAGCAGCCGCGGUAAUACGUAGGGUGCGAGCGUUAAUCGGAAUUACUGGGCGUAAAGCGUGCGCAGGCGGCUUUGCAAGACAGAUGUGAAAUCCCCGGGCUCAACCUGGGAACUGCAUUUGUGACUGCCAGGCUAGAGUACGGCAGAGGGGGAUGGAGUUCCGCGUGUACCAGUGAAAUGCGUAGAUAUGCGGAGGAACACCGAUGGCGAAGGCAAUCCCCUGGGCCUGUACUGACGCUCAUGCACGAAAGCGUGGGGAGCAAACAGGAUUAGAUACCCUGGUAGUCCACCCCCUAAACGAUGUCAACUGGCUGUUGGACCCCCUCGCUCUUCAUUACCGACCCUAACCCCCCGAACUUCACGCCCUGGCGAG